rnacentral:rRNA from 1 species
UACGUAGGGUGCGAGCGUUGUCCGGAAUUAUUGGGCGUAAAGGGCUCGUAGGCGGUCUGUCGCGUCGGUAGUGAAAACUCAGGGCUUAACCCUGAGCCUGCUUCCGAUACGGGCAGACUAGAGGUAUGCAGGGGAGAAUGGAGUUCCUGGUGUAGCGGUGAAAUGCGCAGAUAUCAGGAGGAACACCGGUGGCGAAGGCGGUUCUCUGGGCAUUACCUGACGCUGAGGAGCGAAAGUGUGGGGAGCGAACAGG